UGUAUUUGUCUUACAAAUCUAGUUUUUCCAAGAAUAGAAAUGGGAUCCUAGAAAUAAUUCAAAGCCCACCUAUUUUUUUUUUUUUUUUACCAAUCCCCAAACCUUCUCUAUUCAUUUCAAAAAGCUUGCAGAUAUUGUAAAACAUCUGGAUUUAGGGAACAAAAGUCCUUCUUGGUGGAACUUGCCUUCUCCCGCUGUGCUUUUGAGAUAUGAUCUGUUCUGUGCUCCUUAUCCUGAAAAAGGAAUGUAACAGCAUGAAUCUUGAAAGAGCCUGAUCUUAAAACCCACCCAUGAGAAAAGUUGGGUCUGCAAAGUAGACUUCCCACAUUGUUACCAGUUGGCAAUCUGGCAAACCAUUGCUUAACUAUGACCAAUUAGGACAGAAGAUGCAAGAGGAAAAGCCUAUAGAUAUUGCCAUUUUUGGCAUAGUAUCCACACCUCACCAAUAAGAUGAAAUGAGUCCUUAAUCUUUUGGAAAAGGAUAUGAAAGAAGUUCAGAGAAGGAGUAAAGUGAUAAAUCCAAUACUUGCUGCAUCGGGUAAGAUGGUAAGAAGGAUACA
rnacentral:lncRNA from 12 species